rnacentral:lncRNA from 1 species
UGUGUGUUUCUGUGUGUGUGUGUGUGUCCAUGUCUAUGUGUGUCUCUGUGUGUGUCUGUGUGUCUCUGUGUCUGUGUGUCUUUGUGUGAGUGUCUCCGUGUGUGUCUGUGUCUGUGUGUAUCUGAAUGUCUCCGUGUCUGUGUGUCUGUGUGUCUGUGUGUUUGUGUGUGUGUGUGUGUCUGUGUGUCUGUCUGUCUCUGUGUCUGUGUGUGUCUGUGUGUCUCCGUGUGUGUGUCUCUGUGUGUCUGUGUCUGUGUGUCUCCGU